UACGUAGGGGGCGAGCGUUGUCCGGAAUGUUUGGGCGUAAAGGGCGCGUAGGCGGCGCGGUAAGUCUGGAGUGAAAGUCCUGCUUUCAAGGUGGGAAUUGCUUUGGAUACUGCCGCGCUUGAGUGCAGGAGAGGUUAUCGGAAUUCCCGGUGUAGCGGUGAAAUGCGUAGAGAUCGGGAGGAACACCAGUGGCGAAGGCGGGUUACUGGACUGCAACUGGCGCUGAAGCGCGAAAGUGUGGAGAGCAAACAGGAUUAGAUACCCUGGUAGUCCACACUGUAAACGAGGAAUGCUAGGUUUAAGAGGUUUCGAGCCCUUUUGUGCCGGAGUCAACACAAUAAGCAUUCACGCUGGGGAGUACCGCAGCAAGGUUGAAACUCAAAGGAAGUGCCUGGU
rnacentral:rRNA from 1 species